rnacentral:rRNA from 1 species
AUUGACCGCUAGCGGCAGGCCUCACACAUGCAAGUCGAACGAGUGGCGGACGGGUGGUUACUGUCUGGGCACCUUCACGAGGGAGGGGGAUAACUACUGGAAGAGGUCGCUGAUUCAGCCUACCAUCGGCUGUGCCCAGAUGGGAUUAGAUAGUAGUUAGGGUACAGGCUCACCUAGUCGACGAUCCCUAGCUGGUCUGCGAGGAUGAACAGCCACACGGGAACUGAGACACGGUCCAGCCUCCGACGGGAGGCAGCAUUGGGGAAUAUUGCACAAUGGGCGCAAGCCUGAUGCAGCCAUGCCGCGUGUAGGAAGAAGGCCUUCGGGUUGUAAAGUACUUUCAGCGGGGAGGCGUUACCCGCAGAAGAAGCACCGGCUAACUCCGUGCCAGCAGCCGCGGUAAUAC